CAGUAGCCGCGGGAAUACGAGGGGGGCAAGCGUUGUUCGGAAUUAUUGGGCGUAAAGGGUGCGUAGGCGGCCCCGCAAGUCUCAUGUGAAAUCUUCAGGCUCAACUUGAAGUCUGCAUGGGAAACUGCGGGGCUGGAGUAUGGGAGAGGUGAGUGGAAUUCCUGGUGUAGCGGUGAAAUGCGUAGAUAUCAGGAGGAACACCUGUGGCGAAAGCGGCUCACUGGACCAUAACUGACGCUGAUGCACGAAAGCUAGGGGAGCAAACAGGAUUAGAUACUCCAGUAGUCCCUGUCUCUUAUAC
rnacentral:rRNA from 1 species